rnacentral:misc_RNA from 1 species
UCUCAACUUCCACGUGGCUYACCUCCUCAGUUAUGCGUCAAGGCUUGUAUCGCCUAGAGCGUAUUGUUGGUUUUCUGUAUUGGAUACCUAAUCGAAGGUAUUAUUUUGAUCGAUCGGAGUCCCUUUUCGUCUUGUUGCAUUUUGUGUCGCAUGAUGAACGUUGAAGCGGUCUCUAUGUUCCAUCACGUUGAUGCACUUGCAUUGAUGUUGUGGCCCAUUGAGCUUUGUUUGGUUUCUUGGAUAUGGAACAUGAAGUGGGCAUGGGGCUGUCAUGAUCCUCUUUUUGCCCUCGUAUGGUGUUCUUGAACGACRGGUCAUGCGCGCSUAGGCKCGUAUCUGCGUG